ACUAGGCGAAAAGGAGAGACGGGAAGUAUUUUUUCCGCCCCGCCCGGAAAGGGUGGAGCACAACGUCGAAAGCAGCCGUUGGGAGCCCAGGAGGCGGGGCGCCUGUGGGAGCCGUGGAGGGAACUUUCCCAGUCCCCGAGGCGGAUCCGGUGUUGCAUCCUUGGAGCGAGCUGAGAGCUCGAGAACCUGCUAAGGCCAUCAAACCUAUUGAUCGGAAGUCAGUCCAUCAGAUUUGCUCUGGGCCGGUGGUACCGAGUCUAAGCACUGCGGUGAAGGAGUUAGUAGAAAACAGUCUGGAUGCUGGUGCCACUAAUAUUGAUCUAAAGCUUAAGGACUAUGGAGUGGAUCUCAUUGAAGUUUCAGGCAAUGGAUGUGGGGUAGAAGAAGAAAACUUCGAAGGCUUAACUCUGAAACAUCACACAUCUAAGAUUCAAGAGUUUGCCGACCUACCUCAGGUUGAAACUUUUGGCUUUCGGGGGGAAGCUCUGAGCUCACUUUGUGCACUGAGGUGAUAAAAUAUUUUUAUCCAUUCACUUGACCCCUUAGAAAAACCUCUCUGAAAAUUAAUUGGAAUCAUUAUUAUUUACAGUUUUCUGUCUCAAUAUCUCAGCUUCCAGCUUCUGAAUUCUGUUUUGUCUCACUGCCAAUCUAAGUCCUAGUACUUCUGAAAUGUGAGCAAUAAAUGAAUGAAAUGAAGCAAAUAGUAUUGUUAAAAAAAUUGGUUACCCUUAUUAAAACAGUAACUUCUCAAUUUGAACAUAACAUAUAGAUAAUAAAUGAUAGUUACCAUUGGU
rnacentral:lncRNA from 1 species